UACGUACCGUCCAAACGUUAUUCGGAAUUACUGGGCUUAAAGGGUACGUAGGCGGCGCUGUUAGUCGGGUGUGAAAUCCCUCGGCUCAACCGAGGAAUUGCGCCCGAUACUGCAGUGCUUGAGGGAGACAGAGGUAAGCGGGACUGAUGGUGGAGCGGUGAAAUGCGUUGAUAUCAUCAGGAACACCGGUGGCGAAAGCGGCUUACUGGGUCUCUUCUGACGCUGAGGUACGAAAGCCAGGGGAGCGAAGGGG
rnacentral:rRNA from 1 species